AUGAACGCUGGCGGCGUGCCUAAUACAUGCAAGUCGAGCGAACAGACGAGGAGCUUGCUCCUCUGACGUUAGCGGCGGACGGGUGAGUAACACGUGGAUAACCUACCUAUAAGACUGGGAUAUCUUCGGGAAACCGGAGCUAAUACCGGAUAAUAUAUUGAACCGCAUGGUUCAAUAGUGAAAGACGGUUUUGCUGUCACUUAUAGAUGGAUCCGCGCCGCAUUAGCUAGUUGGUAAGGUAACGGCUUACCAAGGCAACGAUGCGUAGCCGACCUGAGAGGGUGAUCGGCCACACUGGAACUGAGACACGGUCCAGACUCCUACGGGAGGCAGCAGUAGGGAAUCUUCCGCAAUGGGCGAAAGCUUGACGGAGCAACGCCGCGUGAGUGAUGAAGGUCUUCGGAUCGUAAAACUCUGUUAUUAGGGAAGAACAAAUGUGUAAGUAACUAUGCACGUCUUGACGGUACCUAAUCAGAAAGCCACGGCUAACUACGUG
rnacentral:rRNA from 1 species